rnacentral:rRNA from 1 species
UACAGAGGUCUCAAGCGUUGUUCGGAAUUACUGGGCGUAAAGCGCGCGUAGGCGGCUUUGUAAGUUAGAGGUGAAAGCCCGGGGCUCAACUCCGGAACUGCCUUUAAGACUGCAUCGCUUGAAUCCGGGAGAGGUGAGUGGAAUUCCGAGUGUAGAGGUGAAAUUCGUAGAUAUUCGGAAGAACACCAGUGGCGAAGGCGGCGUGCACGGACCGGGAGUUGAC